rnacentral:rRNA from 1 species
UACGGAGGAUCCGAGCGUUAUCCGGAUUUAUUGGGUUUAAAGGGUGCGCAGGCGGUUCGUUAAGUUAGAGGUGAAAUCCCGUGGCUCAACCACGGAACUGCCUCUGAUACUGGCGGGCUAGAGAGAGGUUGCUGUGGGCGGAAUGUGUGGUGUAGCGGUGAAAUGCUUAGAGAUCACACAGAACACCGAUUGCGAAGGCAGCUCACAAAGCCUCAUCUGACGCUCAUGCACGAAAGCGUGGGGAGCAAACAGGAUUA